rnacentral:rRNA from 1 species
AGUGAACGCUGGCGGUAGGCCUAACACAUGCAAGUCGAACGGCAGCACAGUAAGAGCUUGCUCUUACGGGUGGCGAGUGGCGGACGGGUGAGGAAUACAUCGGAAUCUACUUUUUCGUGGGGGAUAGCGUAGGGAAACUUACGCUAAUACCGCAUACGACCUACGGGUGAAAGCAGGGGAUCUUCGGACCUUGCGCGAUUGAAUGAGCCGAUGUCGGAUUAGCUAGUUGGCGGGGUAAAGGCCCACCAAGGCGACGAUCCGUAGCUGGUCUGAGAGGAUGAUCAGCCACACUGGAACUGAGACACGGUCCAGACUCCUACGGGAGGCAGCAGUGGGGAAUAUUGGACAAUGGGCGCAAGCCUGAUCCAGCCAUACCGCGUGGGUGAAGAAGGCCUUCGGGUUGUAAAGCCCUUUUGUUGGGAAAGAAAAGCAGCAGGUUAAUACCCCGCUGUUCUGACGGUACCCAAAGAAUAAGCACCGGCUAACUUCG